rnacentral:rRNA from 1 species
AACGAACGCUGGCGGCAUGCCUAACACAUGCAAGUCGAACGCUUCCGGGGGUUUCGGCCUCCGGGGGAGUGGCGCACGGGUGAGUAGCGCGUGGGAACCUGCCCUGUUGUGGGGGAUAACCGAGGGAAACUUCGGCUAAUACCGCAUACGCCCGAGGAGUGAUCUUCGGGGAAAGAUUUAUCGCAGCAGGAGGGGCCCGCGUCGGAUUAGCUGGUUGGUGGGGUAACGGCCCACCAAGGCGAUGAUCCGUAGCUGGUCUGAGAGGAUGAUCAGCCACACUGGGACUGAGACACGGCCCAGACUCCUACGGGAGGCAGCAGUGGGGAAUAUUGGACAAUGGGGGCAACCCUGAUCCAGCAAUGCCGCGUGAGUGAUGAAGGCCUUAGGGUUGUAAAGCUCUUUCGCCCGCGACGAUGAUGACGGUAGCGGGAGAAGAA